AGCGAACGCUGGCGGCAGGCCUAACACAUGCAAGUCGAACGAAGUCUUCGGACUUAGUGGCGGACGGGUGAGUAACACGUGGGAACGUGCCUUUAGGUUCGGAAUAACUCAGGGAAACUUGUGCUAAUACCGAAUGUGCCCUUCGGGGGGAAAGAUUUAUCGCCUUUAGAGCGGCCCGCGUCUGAUUAGCUAGUUGGUGAGGUAAAGGCUCACCAAGGCUACGAUCAGUAGCUGGUCUGCGAGGAUGACCAGCCACAUUGGGACUGAGACACGGCCCAAACUCCUGCGGGAGGCAGCAGUGGGGAAUCUUGCGCAAUGGGCGAAAGCCUGACGCAGCCAUGCCGCGUGGAUGAUGAAGGUCUUAGGAUUGUAAAAUCCUUUCACCGGUGAAGAUAAUGACUGUAGCCGGAGAAGAAGCCCCGGCUAACUUCGUGCCAGCCGCCGCAGUAAUAC
rnacentral:rRNA from 1 species